AAUCAACGCUGGCGGCGUGCCUCAGACAUGCAAGUCGAACGAUUAAAGCUCUCUUCGGAGAGUGUAUAGAGUGGCGCACGGGUGAGUAACACGUAAGUAAUCUACCUUUGAGUGGGGAAUAACAAUCGGAAACGAUUGCUAAUACCGCAUAAUGCAGCGGCAUCGCAAGAUGACAGUUGUUAAAGGAGCAAUCCGCUUAAAGAGGAGCUUGCGGCAGAUUAGCUAGUUGGUAAGGUAAUGGCUUACCAAGGCUACGAUCUGUAACCGGUCUAAGAGGACGGUCGGUCACACUGACACUGAAUAACGGGUCAGACUCCUACGGGAGGCAGCAGUCGGGAAUUUUGGGCGAAUGGGCGAAAGACCU
rnacentral:rRNA from 1 species